rnacentral:rRNA from 1 species
UACGAAGGGGGCUAGCGUUGCUCGGAAUCACUGGGCGUAAAGCGCACGUAGGCGGAUUGUUAAGUCAGGGGUGAAAUCCUGGAGCUCAACUCCAGAACUGCCUUUGAUACUGGCGAUCUCGAGUCCGGGAGAGGUGAGUGGAACUGCGAGUGUAGAGGUGAAAAUUCGUAGAUAUUCGCAAAGAACACCAGUGGCGAAGGCGGCUCACUGGCCCGGUACUGACGCUGAGGUGCGAAAGCGUGGGAGCAACAGGG